CAAUUGUCCAGAAUUAGUGUUAAUUGAUAUCAAUAAUCAAAGUUGGAAAAAAAGAUACGUUAACUGUCUGGUCAAGACGUGUAUGAAUUGAAGGACAAAUGCCUUCAGAUUUGAUAAAAAAAAACCAGAGUUACUAAUACACUAUGAAUGAAACAGAUAUCACACUACAGGAUGAUGAAGUUGGUACUACUGUUACAGUUUUAUUCACGUCAUUAGCAGCAGCGUCGGUUUUAAUCGACAUCGCUUACAUCAUUGUUUGCUUUAAGGCUCUUAAGAAAACUUUCCAUCAUCUUACUAUUUUGGUGUUGUUUUUCAGCGAUAUUACUUUAGGGAUUUCAUCAACAAUGUUUUCGUUAGGAACUGUAUUAAAACAUGAACAUGUAGACUCGUGUCUCCUACAGAUAUUUAUUGUUACAUUCGGUCUGCAAUCAAACUAUUGUUUGAUAUUCAUUCUGUAUUU